AGUGAACGCUGGCGGUAGGCCUAACACAUGCAAGUCGAACGGCAGCACAGUAAGAGCUUGCUCUUACGGGUGGCGAGUGGCGGACGGGUGAGGAAUACAUCGGAAUCUACUUUUUCGUGGGGGAUAACGUAGGGAAACUUACGCUAAUACCGCAUACGACCUACGGGUGAAAGCAGGGGAUCUUCGGACCUUGCGCGAUUGAAUGAGCCGAUGUCGGAUUAGCUAGUUGGCGGGGUAAAGGCCCACCAAGGCGACGAUCCGUAGCUGGUCUGAGAGGAUGAUCAGCCACACUGGAACUGAGACACGGUCCAGACUCCUACGGGAGGCAGCAGUGGGGAAUAUUGGACAAUGGGCGCAAGCCUGAUCCAGCCAUACCGCGUGGGUGAAGAAGGCCUGCGGGUUGUAAAGCCCUUUUGUUGGGAAAGAAAAGCAGCAGGUUAAUACCCCGCUGUUCUGACGGUACCCUAAGAAUAAGCACCGGCUAACUUCGU
rnacentral:rRNA from 1 species